GUCAGGAUGGCCGAGCGGUCCAAGGCACUGCGUUAAGGUCAAGUGUUUUCCUUUAGAACUAAUGUCUGAAACAGUCUCCACUGGAGUCAGGUGGGUUCAAAUCCCACUUCUGACA
rnacentral:tRNA from 1 species